UGCUGUCGAGUAAUGAGUAACAAUGUAAUUUAUUGGGCAACUAAUAUUUAGAAAGUGAUUAUUAUCUUUUACUUAUCAUAAGAAAUAGGAUAACAUAUUUGAACCAAAAAAAAAAAGAAGAUAAAGGACAAUAAAACAAAAGACAAUCUGAUAUCGUUCUACCAUUUUUAAUUUAGAAACUUUGGUCAAUAGUUAGAAACUUGGUUUACCUGCGAAGACAAACAACGUCACUCUAAGAAAGAUGAAAGACGUUUGCUGAUAAAAGAUAAUUCUGUUAUGGCGUUAAGGUCGACUACUUAUUGCUGGAUUCAUACUUCGUGUGCUAUCACAAUGACAUAUUUGAUCAUUUCUUUUGGAAGCUUGAUUUAGUACCAUUUGAUUUGAGCUAUAUACUUCAACAAUUUUUACUAGAAAUAUGUGUCUUGAUCUCAACAUACUCUUAGCCCAAUAUAAACUACAAGAUGAUUU
rnacentral:lncRNA from 1 species